rnacentral:rRNA from 2 species
GAAGUUGCUCUUUGGGAAGCCCUCGGGUGGAACUGUGAGUAUACUUAGUGGCGGACGGGUGAGUAACGCGUGAGCAAUCUGCCCUGCAAUGGGGGACAACAGUUGGAAACGACUGCUAAUACCGCAUAAGACCACGAAACCGCAUGGUUUAGAGGUAAAAGGAUUCAUUCGAUGCAGGAUGAGCUCGCGUCCCAUUAGAUAGUUGGUGAGGUAACGGCCCACCAAGUCAACGAUGGGUAGCCGACCUGAGAGGGUGAUCGGCCACAUUGGAACUGAGAAACGGUCCAAACUCCUACGGGAGGCAGCAGUGGGGAAUAUUGGGCAAUGGGGGAAACCCUGACCCAGCAACGCCGCGUGAAGGAAGAAGGCCUUCGGGUUGUAAACUUUUGUCCUAUGGGACGAAAAAAAUGACGGUACCAUAGGAGGAAGCUCCGGCUAACUACGUGCCAGCAGCCGCGGUAAUACGUAGGGAGCAAGCGUUGUCCGGAAUUACUGGGCGUAAAGGGUGCGUAGGUGGCCAUGUAAGUCAGGUGUGAAAGACCGGGGCUCAACCCCGGGGUUGCACUUGAAACUGUGUGGCUUGAGUACAGGAGAGGGAAGUGGAAUUCCUAGUGUAGCGGUGAAAUGCGUAGAUAUUAGGAGGAACACCAGUGGCGAAGGCGACUUUCUGGACUGUAACUGACACUGAGGCACGAAAGCGUGGGGAGCAAACAGGAUUAGAUACCCUGGUAGUCCACGCCGUAAACGAUGGAUACUAGGUGUGGGGGGCGAUAGUCCUCCGUGCCGAAGCUAACGCAUUAAGUAUCCCGCCUGGGGAGUACGAUCGCAAGGUUGAAACUCAAAGGAAUUGACGGGGGCCCGCACAAGCAGCGGAGCAUGUGGUUUAAUUCGAAGCAACGCGAAGAACCUUACCAAGGCUUGACAUCCUCUGACGCAUAUAGAGAUAUAUGUUCCCUUCGGGGCAGAGAGACAGGUGGUGCAUGGUUGUCGUCAGCUCGUGUCGUGAGAUGUUGGGUUAAGUCCCGCAACGAGCGCAACCCUUGUUGCUAGUUGCCAGCACGUAAAGGUGGGAACUCUAGUGAGACUGCCGGGGACAACUCGGAGGAAGGUGGGGACGACGUCAAAUCAUCAUGCCCCUUAUGUCUUGGGCUACACACGUGCUACAAUGGCCGGUACAAAGGGCAGCGACCUCGUAAGAGUAAGCGAAUCUCAAAAAGCCGGCCCCAGUUCGGAUUGUGGGCUGCAACCCGCCCACAUGAAGUCGGAGUUGCUAGUAAUCGCGAAUCAGCAUGUCGCGGUGAAUGCGUUCCCGGGCCUUGUACACACCGCCC